rnacentral:rRNA from 1 species
UACGGGGGGGGCAAGCGUUGUUCGGAAUUACUGGGCGUAAAGGGCUCGUAGGUGGCCAAUUAAGUCAGGCGUGAAAUCCCCAGGCUCAACUUGGGAACUGCGUCUGAUACUGGUUGGCUUGAAUUCGGGAGAGGGAUGCAGAAUUCCGGGUGUAGCGGUGAAAUGCGUAGAUAUCCGGAGGAACACCGGUGGCGAAGGCGGCUUCCUGGACCGACACUGACGCUGAGGCGCGAAAGCUAGGGGAGCAAACGGG